CCGAUUCGAACCAUUUUCAAUAGGAAACAAUGGGACCAGAUUCCGCGUCGAAUGAACCGUCGGUCAUUGAAAUCGUAUGAGGUUUACUGCCAAAAAGUGAUGUGAGUUUUUUUGUACACACACAUACACACAUACAUACACACACACACAUACAUACACACAGACAUCACCCCAAUUCGUCGAGCUGAGUUGAUUGGUAUAUGUGACUCGACCCUCCGGGCCUUCUAUCGAACAGUCAUUUUUGGAGUGAACAUAUAGCCUUUCCAGUACACUUAGUGUACGAGAAAGGCAAAAAAUUAAAGAGUUGUGCUGAAAUUGAGUUUGAGAAAAUUAUCAGAUGUUGAGGACCUAUGAUUGUUUUUUUUUUGGACUACAACCGCAUACCUUCUGAUACCUCCUGAAACGGCUAGAAAUGCUACGAAACGCCAAAAAAAUGUAUUGAAUGCCAUCAGAAACCUCGCAUGACCUCGAGCAUAUCCAACUCAAAACAAAUUGCCAUUUUCAACUCGAUAUCUUUCAAUUUAAAAAUACAAAAAAAAAGAAAAAAAAUAUGGGACCUUGUGAAAUUUCAUUCGAGAUUUUUUUUAUUCUCUAUGUUGCCAUAGAAUUUCUUGCAAUGUUUCUUAUGGAGGUUGUUCUACAUCUAAAGUAAUCUACAAUAACGUGUUGAGUGAUUCACAAAUUGAUCCAGGAGGUGCAAUGCAAGUAGUUGAAAAAAUAGACCUGAUGAUCACUGAAAAGGAAUCUUAUUUUUCAGAUAUGUGAAUUUUAAGUCCAUCUCGAAUAACAUUUAACAAAGUCUAGUUUUUUUCUAAAUAUUUUUAUUUUUGAAUUCCCUGUCACUUAAGUAUGGUUAGAUGUAUCAGGGCAUCAGAACAUUGGCUCAUGAUUAGAUGUACGAAUGACAAUUAUUUAUAGUUUCUGCAUUGAAACUUGUUCGUAGAAUCUUUUAUGGUAAAAUUGUGCCCUUUUUAAAAAUUGAUAAAAUAUAAAAAUUGGAAAAAAGUUAGAAGCAUUUGACCAUCCUGGGCUGCUUGGCAAAUUUUUAGGCUGGAUGUCAGCUUUCUACAGAAAAAUAAAAGAAAUCGAAGAGUAAGGUUUUUGUAAACAAGAAAUUAUAUGAUAUCUAAUACAGAUCCGUAAUAAAUAUUACUCCAUUCAUAAACUCAUAAACUAUCAAAGAUCGCGUCUACGCCCAAGUAACAAUUCCUUUGCUGAUUGGUUUUGUUUGAUUUUUAUUAGGGUUUUAUUACAGCAAUAGUUAAAACUCACAAUGUUAUGACUACUUUUAUGAAAAGCAUUGAUGAAAUGUUUUAUAGUAUACUUGAAGAUAUCCAUAAAGCUAGAUUUCAAGAGUAAACAAAAUUCUCCAAUAUGUAAACUUUCUGGCAUUCAUUAUUACCACAAUAAAACUGCUCAAACUCUCAACAGAUGGUGAUCCGUUCGAUUAGUAACAAAUAGAGGGUCUUGCCUGGGAUUUCCCGGGACAAAUAUCUCGGGACAUCCCAGGAUCUGAAAAAUCCCGAAUCCCGGGAUAUUUUUUCGAAAUUCCCGGGAUUCCCCGAAAAUUAAAAAAAAAAUUACAGUGUGUUUACUAAAUCACAACUUUUUUAUCAAUGUUGCCAUUUUCCAUUCAAUUCUACGCUAUCUAGCAGGUAUAAUUUACUUUAUUUAUACUCAAAUCAAGUUUUUGAUGAUUUUUUUCCGAUUUUUUCAAGGAAAUUUUGGCAGAGCUUAUGUCAUUCAUUUUUCAUUUACGUGGCGUUACAUUACAAUUAUAAUAAAACGGAACAACUGGAAGAAUAUCGAAAUGCGUAAUAAAAUGAGUUAUUUCAAGCUAUUGCUAGAUUGUCCUGGUAAUAUUCCUUGAAUUCAUGUUCAUGUUCAACAUUUAUAGUAGCAGAUUUUGUAAACAUUUUUACAACUUCUGAAAACUUUUCUUAAAAAAAAAUCUAUUCGUAUAUAAUAUUCUACUGCCCUGAGCAAUUGCUGGAUACAUUAUAUUAUGAGGAAAAUCCUCAUAAUUUUCAGAGGCAAACGGAUAAGUAAUUCCUAAUUUCUGCGGGACUUUGAUAAUCCAUAUUUCAGGACGAUUUCGUAAACAUAUUUUCGAUUAAAUUCGUUGAGACAUUUUCUUUUUAAGCUUAGGCUAAAUUUCCUGCGGAACUCAUUGGAAUAUUCAGAGCAAGAAUCGCGAAAGAUAAUUCAAGUGAUAAUUUUGACAAAAUACCGUUUUCUGCAGAAAUUUCUUCGAAGGUAACAGCUCAACCUAGCAAGCAGACCAGAACUUUUUUGGGCAGAAGUUUUUCAGCACCUUGGAGAAACAUACCAUAUCGAAUUGCAAAAAAAUAAUAAAAAUAUGGAAAUGUUGAAAAAAAAACACAAAAACCAUCUGAAGAAAUUUCUAAAGGUUGUAAUCUUGCAAAAUAAAUAAAAAAAAUGGUCAAUGGAGUUUCAGGAUAGAAAUCAUGAAGAAAUCUUUGAAAGAAUUUUAUUAGACUAUUUAAGGGAUUUUUGAAGAUAUUUAUAUCAAUUUUACUAAAAGUUUGUUGAGAGGGUCUGCUUAGAAAUACUCUGUUUUUUCACAGUUUCUUCAAUAAAUCUAAACGGAAUUCCGAAAUUUUAACAUGAAUUUAUUUCAAAAUUAGUUGAAUUGCUUCACUCACAUAUUUUCUCAAAGAAAAAACAAAAUGCUGACAAAAUUUUUUUUACCUUUCUCCCUCCGAACUUUGUUAUCAAAAUAUAUAAUUUGUUUCCAAAAAUAACAUAAUAGACCCCAUGAGUUGGUUAUAUAAUUGCUGCUGAAAUUCUAUUAAAUCUUUAUUUAAUAAUUCCUCUUGGAUAUUAGGUAAAUGUAGUUUUCUUGGAUUUCCACACAUACUUUAUUCACGUGUCAGGGUAAAUUAUAAGGGAUUUUUCUGGAAAUGUCAUCAAGCUCUGUCAAAAGCUUCGAUUCCCGAGCAGAGGAGAAUAUCAAAAUAAUAACAAUGGAGUCACAAAAUCUGUUUUUAUAUCUUAGUUUGUUAUUAUUAACUUAUUGAGGUAUUACCGUUCCAUAACAUGUUGUGUUGGACAAUCUUAUUUUGUUAUGAUCAUGCUAUUGGUAUAUUUUCUUUAAAUUACAUUUCAAUAACAUGUUUUGUGGUAGCAUACAUUCAGUUACUAUUGUGUUAUUGUGACUGUACAAAUAUUUGAUCAUUGUUAGCACAACAAUAACAAUCUUUGCUAUCAAAACUAAACCAUUCAAGAUUGACGUUGUCCACAGCAUUUCGCGAGGAACUGAUAAGAAAAUAUUAUGUUCUCAUCAGUUUCCCUUCCUCAUCUUUUUAAUAUUACAUUCUAACUGUAACAGAAGCCCUUUGAUAAGAAUACUUGUUUUUGCCUUUCUCGUACACUAAGUGUACUGGAAAGGCUAUAUGUUCACUCCAAAAAUGACUUUUUGAUAGAAGGCCCGGAGGGUCGAGUCACAUAUACCAAUCAACUCAGCUCGACGAAUUGAGGUGAUGUCUGUGUGUGUGUAUGUAUGUGUGUGUGUGUGUAUGUAUGUGUGUGUGUGUAUGUGUGUGUACAAAAAAAACUCACAUCACUUUUUGGCAGUAAACCUCAACCGAUUUUAAUGACCAACGGUUCAUUCGACGCGGAAUCUGGUCCCAUUGUUUCCUAUUGAAAAUGGUUCGGAUCGGUCCAGCCGUUCCGGAGUUAUGGCCAUUUAGGUGUUCCGGAUCGGUACCCCAAGAAGGGGCCAGAUAUGAAAACGCUACAAACCCAUUCAUGCGACACAUCAAACCACGGCACUUUCGAAAACAUGAUGAACGGUAAACAGGAAAAUAGUCUCGGGCCAUAUCUGAACCGGUACUGUUCCGGAACCGGUUCCGGGUGACCCGCCGGAAGUGGCCAAAUAUGAAAGUGAAUCAAACCCUUCAUGCGACACAUCUAACAGCGGAUUUUUCGAUAACCUGAUAAACAGUAGGCAGGAAAACAUUCUCAGACCAUAUCUGAACCGGUAGUAUUCCGGAACCGGUUCUGGGUGUUCCGCCGGAAGUGGCUAAAUAUGAAAGUGAACCAUAUCCAUGCAUGCGAUACAUCAAACAGCGGCUUUUUGAUAGCCUGAUGAACAGUAGGCAGGAAAAUAUUCUCGGAUCAUAUCUGAACCGGUAGUGUUCCGGAACCGGUUCCGGGUGAUUCGCCGGAUGUGGCCAAAGAUGAAUGGGAACCAAAACCAUGCAUGCGAUAUAUCAAACCGUGGCUUUUUAGAUAAUCUGAUGAACAGUAAGCAGGAAAGCAUUCUUUAAUCAUAUCGGAACCGGUAGUGUUCCGGAACCGGUUCCAGAUGUCCCGUCGGAGAUGGCCAAGUAUAACCCAUGCAUGCGACAUAUCAAAUAGUCGCUUUUUUGUUAUUUUGAUGAACAGUAAGCAGGAAAAUAUUUUCCGAACAUAUCUGAACCGGUAAUGUCCGGAACCGGUUCUGGGUGUCCCGCUGGACAUGGCCAAAUAUAAAAGUGAACCAAGUCCAGGCAUGCAACACAUCAAAUCACGGAUUUUUAGGAAAACUGAUUGACAAUUUUCAUGAAACUAGUCUAAGGCCGCAUCAGGGACAAUCGGUAAGUGAUGAAAUGUGAACCGAAACUGCUUUGGAAAGUGGUAAAAUGUGAAAUUGAAGCAAACCCAUGCGUGUGGUGCCAUAAAACCACGCUAAUUCGACAAUGAUUGCUGUCAGAUUACCUGGGUGAACUUUUAAUUCGAUAAACUAACUAUAUUUUAGUUUUUGUUUAGAUUGUAGGAUUGGUUUUUGAAUACAAAUCCUACAGAUAUUGUGGUUAUACGAAUUGAUAGCUUGUUCCUUUUACGAUGGUUGGCUUCCGAAGUUCACUGAAGUUGGUCACAAAACGGAUCAGGUGUCGGAAAGCACCAAAUUUGAACUUUCGGAAGUAGCAGCUGCACUAGGAGCCGUUACGGGUGUGAGUAACAGCACAAUAUCGAAUCAUUCGUAUUUACAGUGUAUUACAUUGUGACAUUGUCGAAUUAAAAAAUGUCGUAUUAAAGAGUGAUGAAUGCGCAGGGUUUGACAGUACAUGAAAUAGCAGCUUUUUUGAUAACACAAUGAUCGAUUUGUAAGAACUUAGCCUCAGAUCAUAUUUAAGACAACCGGUAGUGUCCCGAAACCAGUUCUGGGUUUCCCACUGGAAGUGGUCAAAUGUAUUAGAUGAAGCUUAUCGUGUUUUUCAGGUAACCUAAUGCUUGUAAGCAAUGAAAUAGUCUCAGACUAUAUUUGGGAGACCCGGUAGUGCGGGAACCUGUUCCGGUACCGUAUCGAAAGUAAUCAAAUGUACCAUGCGAUACAUUACAUCACGGCUUUUUUAAUAACCUGAGGAACGGUUAACUAGUAAAUAGGCUCAUACCACAUUAAAGACUGCCGGUAGAGUUGCACAACCAGCGUUUGGUACUUCGCCGGAACUACGAAAGUAAAUAAAUUCCAUGCAAGCGAUAAAUAUGUGUAAGAGAACAAAUUCUUUACAAACUAAACCCACAUAAAAACAGACGUCUCACUAUAAUUACUACCUAUCGUUCUUGUUUUCAACGGUCAAUAAAAUAUAGCCUAAAAUAUGCAGAAAAAACUUUGUCGAAGACCGCAAAGUGAUCUGUAAUUGUGUAAAAACUUAUAUCUUAGCUUGUUAGUAUCGUCUUAAUAUUGAUUAGCCUCCAGUGUUGGUGAAGGUGCUCAAGCAGUCAACUGAGAAGUCUGAUAUUAUUCAGCUCUGCAUAUACGUUGAACAUAACGUCGGACCAUGUGCCAUUAAUAAGUUUUAAGUCAAUUCAAUGAUGGCUUUGAUAAAAUGCUUGCUUUUCUUUAAAAAAAUAUCAGGAUUUAGGAACACUUUCACUUACGUCGACGGAAAGAUUGUGAGAACAUAUUCGACGAGAAAGGCACUAUCACCACUAGGUGGAUUAAUUUGGGUUUUUUUUUAAUUUCUUUGGUAACACCUUCGGAAAGUUCUUCUAAACUUUGUUGGCAAUUGUAGGCAACUUUGUUGGCAAAAUUGUUUCUCAACGUUUAUUUGACAUAUCAUAUGUAGGCGAGUUACAGUAAAAAAUUCAGCUCAAUCGGAGCAUUGAUUACGGAGAAUGAGAUAUGUGAAGUAAGCGACGUUGCUUAAAAAUGGAACAAAAAUCGAUUUCAAAUCAUCAACCUUGUAUGGAAAGUUGAAAAAAAUUGCGCUCUACUGUAAUUUUUUUCCUUCGCGUUUUCGAACUCAGGGCAUCAAAAAUGAUCAUCAGCUUACCGAGUUCAAAAACGCUGUAAACUAGUGUAAUUUGACUAUCCCCUGUACCUCUGUUUCUUGUAAUGAUGUUAUUUUCAGGCAUAUUUAUAUGUCAUGACACUUAUUCGUCGUUAUCAUUGUAACUUUAUUCCUUUAUUUAGAUUUUAUUUAAUUAAGGUUCAAUGUAUGACCUGUGAUUGCAAGACUCGCGCUAGAAUUAUUCAAAAGACAGAAGUAAAACUGUAAUGUGUCACUAAAAAGCCAUAUCCAUGACACAACUAUGUAUAUACCUAUGUACACCAUUUUUGCUCCGUGUUGUUUUAUCCUUCGUCAUCGUCAUCGAUAGAGGUUCGAAGUGAUAGCAAAAGAACAAAUGGCAACGGACGGAGGGAGAAUCUUUUUUCACCACCCACCAAAGCAGCCAUCCAUACUUUCACCGUCAUGUAUGUAGCACGAAGUUACUCUCGUUCGUAGAAAAUUACUGGCCCCCGCCAUAGCUGGAACCCAUUACGUAAUCAUCAUCCGCCACUACUGCUGCACUGUUGGGAGUUUUGGGUGGCCAAAAAUCAGAAACGGAUGAUGAUCGAUUUCAAUAUUCGAUUGGUGAUUCAAGCAGGAUAGUCGAAGAGCUUCAGUUGUGAUGGGUAAGCGCAUGGGUGACGCAUUCGAUUUCCAGCCGGUCCAGGAACCUUUUCUUAAAGACUUGUUCUCGUUUUUCAUGGGCAUAUAGUAUCUUCGUGCCAGACACAUGCAAAAUUGACAUUGGCAAAUGAAGCUCUCAGCUAAUGACUAUGGAAGUGCUCUUAGUACACUGAGCAAGCUGAGAAGCAGGUUUUGGCCCAGCUGGAACGUUAUACCAAGAAGUAGAAGAAGAAGAAGACAAUAAUUGGUCCAGAGGAUAAGAUAUGAGUUUAUCAAUCUUAAUUCUUAUAGAGGUAUCGAAAGUGAACUUUCAGAGAUCCUUCCAGAAAUUUUCUAGAAACUUUAAAAGAUUUCAUAAAUUUUCACAAAUUUUCUCAGAUCUUCAUACCUUGAUAUUCAGAACAGACAAUACAAUACCUAUAAUUGACCACCUACUAGCCUCAAGCCGCCCCACAGUGAUGCUCGUCUCGCACGGUUCUGUGUUGACUGGAGUUUAAAAAGUAUAGUCUAAGUGGCACCGGUAAGCCAGCAGUUAAGUUCAGCUGCGGAAGCUCCUUCUAGGCAAAAGGAAGCUCAUUUAAAGAGAAAAGCAAAAGUCAACGACAUUUGUAUGCUGCAAGUUUAAUGGGGGGUUCGCUGCAAUUGGGACACGCCAAGAAAUGGCUGGGGAAGAAAGACAGUCUGCGAGGUGAUUCUCGUGAAAAACUGUCUGUCAAUCGAGGGAUAAGGAAGCCCAAAUGGCUGGGGCUUUGCGAGGAAAAUUUAUUAAGUAUUUAAAAGUGCAACGAGGUUGCAGCGAAGCGUUUAAGUGCUUUAUGGGUUGUUGACCACCUCUGUGGUAGAAAUUGUUUUGACCUGUUGUGGCUUCGGUAUUGAUUGAUUUAAUGAAUAGUUGAUUCUUCCUAAUUAGGAAUUUGAAUCAGAGUCACUGAAAUACACACUUGACAACGAGACGAACAAACCUCUAAGAAUCAUUUAAAUGGCUCAGAUUCAUGCUUAGACGUUAGAGCCCACAUUGAUUUAACGAUUAGUGAAUGUUUAUUCUUGUGCAAAUUUAUCUACCAAUAACCUUUGGUGUGAGGAUAAAACACCGUGUGUAGAAAGGGCAGGCAUUUUAACACUAGAAACCAUUUCUUCCGGUCUUAAAAGCAGCAUGUCGACGUUGGAAGCAAAUUUCCAAAAAUGGAAAUUCCGUGUUGUCGUUGUAAUUAUUUAUUACCGCUCAUACACACACCGCUAAGUGCACAACAAGGAUUUUUCCUUCUCUUUCAUCGAAAUGGAGUAGGAAGCGAAAAUCAUAAAGCGGAAUGGAUAAGAUGGAGCAAUACAAAAGUGUAUCUUUCGUGAUGAUUGUAUUAGUAUCUACAAAUGCUGUUCGGAUUUUAUCCUGGAAUUGCUGCAAGACGCUUCUCCUAUAAUUCAAAAGCAUCCCAGUUCGUUUUCUGUGGAUGAAAACAUGAAUAUUUAGAUCUACGUCUCAUUAACACUCCCACUGCCAUGCCGUGAUAACGGUAAAAUUAAAGGACUUUGGUAUCGAAUUUGAUUUUUAAAAUUUAUUUAUAAACUCGUGUAUCCCCAUGUAAGAUUUCUUAACUAUUGCUUUGGGGAUUCCUUUGGUAUUUUUUUUUUUCAACAAUUCUUUUGUAAGUUGCUCAAGUAAUGCAUUUAAAACUUCUUCAUCAAUUUCUGUGAGAAUAUUGAGAAAAAAUAUUUAACUUUGUUGCAAUUUUUUUUUGGAAGUCCUUUGGCAAUUUCUUCGAAUAAUGCUUCAGCGAUAUCUAUGAAAUUUUCUUCGGCAAAAAAAUGAGAAUUUCUUCGGUAGGUUAAUUUUUUAUAUAUCUUUAUUACCGAGACUUUCAGCCCGAGGCCGGUUCAUCUCCAUGUAGGUUAAUAAGAUUUUUAGAGUUCUUUGGACAUCUUGAAGAACUAGCAUGUUAGUUAACCGUUACAAAUAAAACACACGGCAAUUUUUUUUUUUUUUGAUAAUUUUUAAACUAAAUUUUCAAUUUUAUUUUAUUUAUUUUUUUGCUAAAGGAAUUUCGGAAGGGAUUCCACAAAAAAAAUGCUAGGGAAGUUUCAAGUAAGUGUUUUAAAGACAAUAUCUUGGGAAUUUCCUAAUCAUUUUCCGAAGGUAAAGUAGUUCGGAAAGAAUUGCCGGGAAUGUGGAUUUUUUUUUACAUGUUUGAGUUAAGAGCAAGCAAGUUGGUUAAUAUUCUCAAAAAAUGACGCAAAUUAAAAAAAAUAAAAUUUCCACUGAAAUUUCUUUGCAUAUUUUCACAGUAAUUAUUUUCAAUUAUUUUUCCAAUAUUUUUAGGCAUCUUCUAUGGCCAUUUCACAAGAAGCUUCAUUUAUCAUCUAUUUAGACAGUGCAAUUAUGUUAGGAAUUCCAUCCGCUUUUCUUCCGCAAUAUUCUUUGGGUAUUUUUUCAGCAGUUUCUCUGAAAAUUUCUCAUACAAUUUCUUUGGAAAUUCAGAAGGUACCAAUUGAAAUUUCUGAUGCAAUAUUUAAAGGAAUUAAUUUCGAAGGAAUUCACAAAGAAAUUGCAAUUUCGAAAAAAAAUGGCCGAAAUUUUUUGAACAUUGUCACAUAAAUUCCGCAAAUGACUUCUGAAAAAAAAAACACAGAAAAAAAUCCUAAGAAAUUUCCGAAAACUGCUUGAGAAAUUUCCAAUGGAAUUACCGAGGAAAUUUCCAUAAAAGAGCUGAAGAAAUUUCCAGAGAAAUUGCAAAGGACUACAUAUGAGAAUUACCAAAGGGUCUCCUUAAAAAAAAUCGGAAAAAUGCCAAUGAAUUUGUAAAAAAGUUCCAACAAAAACUCCCGCAAAAGUAUUUCGCAAAGAAUAUGCUGAAGUAAUUUUGAAAGAAAUUCUUAAAGGAAUUGCUGGAAUUACUCGAGGAAUUAAAAAGUACUUUCAGAACAGCUUUUCAAAGAAAAAGUCGGAGGAAUUGUCAAAAUAAUUUUGGAAGAAUUGCCAUAGGAAAAAACAAACCCCGAUAAUACAUCAACGACAUUUCGCUGAGAAAUGAUCAAAAGAAUUGUCAAUGCAAUUCUAAAAGAAAGCUACGAAGCGAGUUUCGAAGAAAUUUCCAAAAACAUUCUCAAAGAAACUGCUGCAUCAUUGAAGAAUUCACGAAGAAUAUUUCUGAGAAAUUCAUAGGAUUUAAAUGGAAUUAAUAAAAAAAUUUGGUAAUUUAUUCUGCAAGGAUUUUUUAAAGGGAUUUCCCAAAGAAUUUUCACAUUGAGCAUAAAAUUCUCAAAGGCAUUGAUGUGGUAGUUACCAGAGGACACAGAAAACAUGUCCGUUAAAAUUCACGAUGGACUUUCAAAGGAAUUCCUGUGUUGCUGAAUUUAUUGCUGACUGCAUUACCGAAGAAAUUUGCCAAGGGAUGGUCAGAGGGAUUGCUGGAUAAAUUCCAGAAAACAAAAUGACCAAAACAAUUGCAAAAAACCUUAAUUAAUCCACCUAGCAGUGAUUGCACCUUUCUCGUGCCCUAAAAAACCCAUUUCAACAAAACUCAAGUGACAUGUUGAUGAAUAUCGCACUUUCAUACGUUUAACAAGAAUCCAUUUCAUGGCACCAAAAAUCAUGUCGUUUAUCUGGAUUUGGAUGUUUGAGCCUAAAAAUCUUAAAAAAAGCCGCUAUCUUGAAUUUUGAACAGCCUUUUUGGAUUUAAGUUCGCCUUGGAUAUUCUUGUCGGACAUCUUCUACAUAUCGAAUAUACCCAUAUAUCUUGAUUUUAGAGCCUAAACCCCCAUUUCUCAAUCGCCAUCUUGAAUUUGGAGCCACCAUCUUGGAUUUCAGACACCUUCUCUAUACCAAAUAUUCCCAUAUUGCAUGGUUUAGAGCCCAGGACGCCAUUAAACAGCCGUAAUCUUGGCUUUGGAGCCGCCGUCUUGGAUUUUAGACCGACAUCUUGGGUAUUCUGUUUACAAUUUUUGGACUCCGGAUAUCUUCCUCAUACCAAAUAUACCCAUAUCGCAUGGUUUUAGGGCCUAAAACUCAAUUAAACAGCCGCCAUCUUGAAUUUAGAACCGUUAUCUUGGAUAUUCUGGUCGCCAUUUUUGGACUCUGGACAUCUUCCUCAUUCCAAAUACAACCAUAUUACAUGGUUUUAGAGCCUAAGACGCCAUUGAACAGCCACCAUCUUUGAUUUGGAGCCGUCAUCUUGGAUGUUAGACCGAGCAUUCUAUUCGCAAUUUUUGAACUCCGGAAAUUUUUUCAUACCAAAUUGUUUUGGACCUAAAACUGCAUUGAACAGACGCCAUCUUGAAUUUAGAUCCGUUAUCUUGAAUUUGGAGCCGCCAUCUUGAAUAUUAGGCUGCCAUCUUGACUUUUGGGCCGACAUAAUGGAAUUUCUGGUCUCUUAUGUUGAUUUUCGUACAAAAAUCGUCAACCAUUCCAAAAGCUACAAAAAUCGCCGCAGUUUGAUGUGUCGGUUGAUAGGGCUUGGUUCAGUUUUAUAUACGGCCAGUUCUACCGGUGCUGAUCCGGAUCACUGAAAUGGCCAUAGCUCCAGAACGCCUUGACCGAUCCGGACCAUUUUUAAUAGCAACAGACAUCAUCUCGGAUCAUUCGUCGAACUGAGUUGAUUGGUAUAUGUGACUUGACCUUCCGAGUCUUCUAUCGACAAUUCGUUUGUUAAGUGAACAUAUAGCCUUUCAGUACACUUUGGUGUACGAGAAAGGCAAACAAUAAUCUUAACAACUACUGGAAAAAUUAAAAAAAAAAUAAUGCCCAAGAAAUUACGAAAAUGGUUGACAACAAUGCCAAGUUAACCACUAAAGGAAUUGUCAAAACAGUUUCCAAAUAAAUUACCGAUGAAAAUUUUAAAGAAUGUGCUUUGAAGAUUCUUUGAAGAAAUUUCCGAAGUCAUUACACUUAAAUUUCCAAACUAAGUGAUUUCCCAAAAAAAUGUGGCCAGAGAAAUUUCCAAAUAAAUUGCCUGAAAAAAAACCAAAGAAAUUGCGAAAAAAUGUCCGAAGGAAUAAUUAAAAAAAACUUGUAAACUCGCAAGAUUAUUGAACAGUUAAAUAGAAUAAUAAAAUAUUGUUCUUUUUUGUGUUCUAUUUACUAAUUGAUAGAGCCCGAUUUUCUUUUAUUUAUGUAAAAGAGUGUUCAACAAUUGGUGAGCUUGUUCCAUUUCAGAAUUUUGUUUUCUAAAGUCGGAAUGACUGAUGUGCAUUGUGAUGCAUAAUACCUACAUCGACAUUCCAAACUAAAAAUAUAACAGAUGGCACUUUUUUCUGUGGUAGUAAAAACGAAAUUUCUCGGUGAAGAAGUUUUUCCGGAACAUGAAGUAAUCACUAAAAGUUGCCUUUCCAAACCAUUGUUGGUUUCUAAUCACUAACUUUUCACAAAAAUAUCCCGUUUUCUAACAAUUAACGUUUUUGUUCCAUACACAGAAAAAAAUAUUCAUGUAAAAUUCAGCGUAAAAUCAUGCACAUAAAGGGAAUGCUAGAGUUAGUACAUAUUUACAUGAGAUAUCAUGUAAAAUUACGUUACGUUCGUGUAAAUUUCCGCUAAUAGUCGCGUAACCGGUUGGAGUCCAUGAUGGUUUACGCGAUAGUUGGCGGAAAUUUACACGAUUGUAAUGUAAUUUUACAUUAUAUCUCAUGUAAAAGUGCACUAACUCUAGCAUUCCCUUUAUGUGCAUGAUUUCUCGCUGAAUUUUAAUUACAUAUUUUUUUCUGUGUAUGAUUUGACAGUUCUUGGCUACCAUGCUUCCGUGAGUUUGAGGGUUGUCAGCGCUGGAAACUAGAUCCUAUAAAAGAGCUUGUAUGCAAUUUUCACUGCUGGCGCCAAUUGAGAGCAAUCAAUGAAAAUGUAAACAGCAAUCAUUCCAUUAAUGGUUUUCGCGAUUUUUCCAUACGAUUUCGCAGUUCUUGACUACCAUGCUUCCGUGAGCUUGAGGUGAGGAUUUUAGAAAGUUGACAACCGAGAGUAGCACAGACGAUGCAUCGAAUACCAGGCGGCUGUCAUCUGAAUACUACCCCGCAGGAAAAAAGUGAGUCAACAUCGCUGAACCCCACUACGUCACUACGUGCUGAACCCCAAACAAAUAAUCGUUUCAGGACCAACAAUUGAAAAAGGCAAAAUAUUUUUCCCAACAAAAUAUAUAAUUUUCCAAAAUACUAGGGCAAUUGUGACAAAAAGUUAUCUUGUUGAUUGGUAUAUGGUACUUUAAAUAAAAACGUGUGUGAAUUAGCUCGUUAUUGUGGUCCUAAAGAAGAGAUAAAAAAAUUUACUCGCAAAUUACGCUCAAAUCAAAUGUUUGCCCCGAAACUGAUGCUGACUUCAAAAACAUGGACGAAUCGCAACCGGCUGUUGAAUACAAGCGAUGGUGUCGCCGUCGGGCUGUCAGCGCUGGAAACUAGAUUCUAUAAAAGUUCUUGCAUGCAAUUUUUACUGCUGGCGCCAACUGGGAGCAAUCAAUAAAAAAUGUAAACAGCAGUCAUCCCAUUAUUGACUGGUAAAAAUGUCGAUUUUCAUACAAAAUUGCCAUCUUUGGGGGGCUGUAACUGUAACUUGCUUUUGCUUUUGCUUUUGUGAAUAAGCUUUAAGCGCAAAACUAAUUAGACAGCGAUAUAUUCCUUUGAUAUACACCUUCUCUUACGAUCCAACAAGCUGUGCUAGCGCCUUCUGUGGACUAUAGUCUGCAAAAACAUAUUUUGUGCAACAUGCUCAUCAUCUUCUAGAUCUUCUAGAUGUUACGUUUGUGUGUCUGUGCUACAGCCAAUACCACAGCACUGACGGUAUCUACAUCGGUAUUUUUGAGCUCUUGAAAACGGUGGUUAGAAUCGUUCGUGAGUAUCGAAAAGAGCACGCAAGUUGCAAAUAAUUAUUAUUGUCGCCAACCUAAUUUUCGCCCAGUUUAUGAUGCGUAUUACCUACUUCGUAAUCGACUUGACGGUGGUGAGUGAGGGUGAGUGAAUGUACUGGAAAGAUAAGCGGUGUCGGAACGCAUGCCAUUACCAUAAGCACUGCAGGAACGUGCUCGACCAAACUCGAAACUGGCAAGGCCGGGAAUUCGCACCAUGAGACGGAGGUGGUGGUGAAAAGCGACAGGAAAAUUUGUUCUGCGUUGGUGCGUAAAAUGAAAAAUUGUAUUCAAUUACCAAGGGGGCCAUGCGGUUGCGUAUCAAGGGUUUGGGGUGAUUUUUUUUUCGGACUGAGGCAAGCUAUAAUUGGGCACUGGAUAAGUUACACUUUUUGAGGAUCAAGGAUGGGAGCUGUAAGAAGAGAUGUAGAUCGAAUAUUAAAUAAAUAAUGUCAAAUAAAUUUGUUACAAUUAGUUUCUGGAGCAACCGUGUGAUAUAAAUGUGAUGUUGUAAGCGAACAGUUUCCGAGGUCAGAUUUUUUUAAAUUCUUUAUUACUUAACCUAAUUUACAGGGCUCUCUUUUGUCCACAAGGGCCUUAUGUGAGCGAUGCCAGCUGCACUUGUACUUUGUACAUCGUCUAAAUGUAUUCUAUUCUAAUUCUACUAUAUCGAAUUGGUGCCUUUGUGCUGCUUUCGCUUUUCUACCACGAUAAUGUUGUUAUAUGGCGGUUGCGGUUCACCGAUAUCCAAAUUUUCCGGGUCCGAUAGAGCUGUAGGCUCAGUGUCAGUUGCUCCCGGGGGGAAGAGUAACUGACGAAAAAUAGCAAAUGCCAAGGCUGGGAUCGAACUCAUGACCAUCCCCUUAUGAAGCGAACGUGUGACCACUGCGCCAGGGGCCCCGACAAGAGGUCAGGUUAUAGCUAAAAUGGGAUAUGCUUCUGUCAUUUGCGGUAUCAUCUGCAGUCAACUGAAGAAACUGAUAUCGUUCCGCUCUGUCUAUACCAACAAUAAGUUUUCCAAUUAGAUAAUAGCUUACGUCGAUGGAAUGAUCAUGAGUACAUAUUUGACGAGAAAGGCGUGAUCACCACUGGGUGGAUAAAUCAAGUUUUUUUUUUAAUUAACUUCAUUACAUGCCGUACUUUUCGAAUAUUAUAUUUCUAAAUCUAAAUACAUUGUACUUUUCCGUUCUACCACAAAUCGGCUUAAAAGUUUAACAACUCAACAAUACAACGGCUCAACAACCUCCUUCCAUCUCAAGGACAAGCGUGUUUUCCAACUCGUUCUCUAACCGAAACAAUGCCAUCCGGUGGCGACGUUGUUGAAAAAUUAAUUACUUGAAUGUGACUUCGCCAGGUGGCCAGAGUGGUAGUAAGAAGAGAGCAAAAGCAUGAAAAUCAGGCCAAUAAUCUAACUCGAAGGUACAGAAGAUACAGAUUUGAAAAUUUCAUGCAGAUAUCAAGGUCAGAUGCAAUUACAUACAUAUGUAUAACCUUGAUAUUCAUAAUAAUGUGUGAUUUAACGAAAACUACAACUAGCAUGAUCUCGCGAAUAGCGUACUCCGGCUGUUGAGCCCGGAAUUACACAUUCUAGGGCAAUCUUGAAUAGUAGGCAGAAAAGUCCAUAACCUUGUCACAAUCCCUCAAUCCCCGUCGAGAUUUGAAUGAACUCGAUAGUUCACCCGGGAUUCUUACGUUGUUUUGAACACCGUCCAUCGCUGCUUUUAUCAGUCUGGUCAGCUCCCCAGGAAAACUGUUCUUGUCCAUGAUUCUCCAUCUCCAUAGCUCUGUGCGGUCGAUACUGUCGUAUGCCGCUUUGAAGUCGAUGACUGGUGAUGCGUUGGGACCUGGUAUUGACGGCAUUUCUGGAGGAUUUGCCAUACGCUGAAGAUCUGGUCCGUUGUCGACUGGCCGUCGAUGAUGCCGGCUUGGUAACUUCCCACGAACUCAUUUGUUUUAGGUGACAGACGACGGAAUGGAACAGCACUUUGUAGGCAGCAUUCAAAAUAGUGAUCGCCCUGAAGUUCUCACAUUCCAUGCGGUCGUCAUUCUUGUGAAUGGGGUAGAUGGCUUUAGGACAGAAGGUCGAAGGACAAAUGGUCGAAGGACAAAAGGUCGAAGGACAAAAGGUCGAAUGGACAAAAGGUCGAAUGGGGGGUUUCGGAGAGUCACAUGUGCGUUACAUGGGGUCAGAGACAGCUUCAGAGCAUUUUCAGCAUAUUUCAUAAUCGUUACGGAGGCGUUACAUAGCGUUUUCGGGGGUUUCGGAAGGUCUGAGGUGCGUUACAUGGGGUUUCAGGGGGUUUCAGGGGGAUUUUGGAGGCAUUCCACAAAGAGCUUCAGAGCAUUUUCGGCGUAUUUCACAAACGGUACGGAGGCGUUAUAUCGGCACCAACAAUUCAAAAGGGCGUAACUGCAUUUACAAUCAAUGCCUUCUCACAAAGCUGUGAAGCGUAUCCCAUCCCUCUCGAGCAAUCCACUAGCACAAAUAGAAAGAUAAAAUCCUCUACUUUCGAUUAAUGGAUGUGAAUUGCGUGAGAUGAAUGAAAUACGAUCCACAGCUCUGUGAGAAGGCAAAAGCAGUUGCGCCCUUUUGAAAUGUUGGUGCCGAUAUGGCGUUUUUGGGGGUUUCGGAGGGUCUAAGGUGCGUUACAUGGGGCUUCCGGCGGUAUUAGGGGGUUUUUGGAGGCAUUCCAAAAGGCUUCAGAGCAUAUUCGGAGGAUUUCAGAAACGUUAUGGCGGCGUUACAUGGCGUUUUCGGGGGUUUUGGAGGAUCUAAGGUGCGUUACAUGGGGUUUCAGGGGGUUUAAGGUAGAUUUCGGAGGCAUUCCAAAAAGCUUCAUAGCAUUUUCAGCAGAUUUGAUUUCAAAGUCGUUACAGAGGCGUUUUGAGAAUGGCGGAAAUCCUCAGUAGUGUCCCUAUAUUGUCCUCGAAACCCCAAGCGCAAUAUUUAUUUCCAAAAUGGCCUAGGAUAUCGGGUUUCAACAUAAACUCAAUUAACCGAAAAUAUCCGUAUGGCAUGAGACUUUUUGAUUUGUUAGACGUGGGUCGUAGCUAUUCAGUUGGGAGCCACUGACACUCCGCUUCUUCACACUUCCGGUUCCUAAGUUAUACGCAUGUCCCGUUGCAGUUUUCGGAACCACUGGGAUUUCAUUAGUUCACUCAAUUUGCCAAUCCUCUACAUUUUUUGCAGUGAUUAAAAAAAUGUCACAGUCACCCAUGAAUAUUUCAUGUGCUCAUACGUGAAUGUUUUUGUUGCAUGAUAGUCAAGACCAUACACCGACGAUUAUCAUGCAAAUUACAGUUUUUGACAGUACAUUUUGGAUCUCUGCUCCCAACGUAAAAUAUUUCGUUUUGUUUGUUCAUAUAGUACCCAGAGAUUUGUUCUUCUCUAAUGAAUAGAUUGUUUAACUUUAUUAAAUCGCUGUAAUUAUUGGAAUUUCAGAUGACAAUAUUUCAAAAUAUUAUUCAUACUUCUUCUACCCAUAGGCUAUUCUUUCAAGGAGUACUAUUUUCCACAUUUAACUUUCAUGAAUAACAUUACUUUAUAUCCUUCUAUUGGCUUCUACUUUCUAUCAUUCCACAAUGGUCCGAAUCCACGUUUUAGCAGGAAAAAAAUCAGUAUCUCUGUUUUCGUUAAUUUUAGGCGUUUGGUGUCUUCAGAGAAGUUGUUUGUAUUUGUUUGCUGCAUCUUUUCCAAAAAUUUUUGAUUAGGGUGGUCCUCGUCCUAACUCAAAUCUGGAAAUGAAUUUUUUAAUUUUAAGUCAUACGCGAUCGAGUUCUUCACAAAAGUUGUAGGCAAUGCUAUUUCGAGCAACUUUGCUGAAUACGCCGUUUAUCUAGCUCUUAAUUUGAACAUAGUAGGUCAAUUUUAAGUUUUGACUUAGGGUGAGCCCCCCAAAAACGGUUUUUUUGCAAUAACUUUUUUAUUUGAUUUUUUUCGAAAAUGUGAGCUUCGGAGCAUUUGAAGAGCAAGUAAUGACGCAUAUUUGUCCUGAACAUUGCAUGUUGCUAGGUCUUGUCAUUCAAAUGUUAUGGGUAAUUUUUACUUAAAAAUAACGAUGUCUUCAAAUGCUUAUAUCUCAUGGAGCUGGUAAAAUAAAAAUAGUUCUUUAAGUGGCAUUUGGAAGGUCACAUAUAAAGCCAAAUGUGGAGCAAAUAUUACAAGAACGUUAUAUUUUAAAUUGGAAUAAAUCGACUCAAAAAAUCCCUUUGAAAAAUCGAAAAACUACUUAUAACUCAUACAAUUUUAAAGAUAGAGUCAAACUGUCUUCGGGAAAAAUGUGGGAUUUCACCAUACCUAAAAGUUUUCCAUACACGAUUUUUUUGUAAAACGUGAAACAAAAGCUUGAAAUUGAUAAUUUGUUUUUAGAGAAUAUAAUCGUUCUGAUUUCCUAGAAAAACAUAGCAUGUACCCCUAAGAAUCAAAUUAUCAAUUUCAAGCUUUUGUUUCACGUUUUGCAAAAAAAUCGUGUAUGGGAAACUUGUAGGCAUGAUAAAAACCUACGUUUUUUCCGAAGACAGUUUGACUCUAUCUUUGAAAUUGUAUGAGUUAUAAGUAGUUUUUUUCAAUUUUCAAGGGGAUUUUUGGAGUCGAUUUAUUCCAAUUUAAAAAAUAACGUUCUUGUAAUAUUUGCUCCAAAUUUGGCUUUAUAUGUGACCAUCCAAAUGCCGCUUAAAGAACUUUUUUUAUUUUACCAGCUCCUCGAGAUAUACGCAUUUGAAGACAUCGUUGAUUUUAAGUCAAAAUUGCCCAUAACAUUUGAAUGACAAGAUCUAGCAACGUGCAAUUUUCAGGACAAAUAUGCGUCAUUACUUGCUCUAAAAAUGCUCCGAAGCUCUCAUCGUCAAAAAAAUCAAAUAAAAAAGUUAUUGCGAAAAAACCGUUUUUUAAUGGCUCACCCUAAGUCAAAACAUAAAAUUGACCUACUAUGUUCAAAUUAAGAGCUAGAUAAACGGCGUAUUCGGCAAAGUUGCUCAAAAAAGCAUUGCCUACAACUUUGCUGAAGAACUCGAUCGCGAAUGACUUGAAAUUUAAAAGUUCUAUUCCAGAUUUGAGUUAAGGCGCGGACCACCCUUAUCAAAAAUUUUUGGAAAAGAUGCAGCAAACAAAUUCAAACAACUUCUCUGAAGACACCAAAUGCCUAAAAUUAACGAAAACAGAGAUACGCAUUUUUUUCCUGCUAAAACGUGGAUUCGGACCAUUGUGGCAUUCUAGGCAUCUAUUUCGGAUUGCAAUGCGGUAGUAAAUAGCUGCAUAUAAGCUAAUUGUCGUUUUUCUGUCAAAUACUGACCACUUUAUCAUGUCUUCCAAAUUGUCUAUUGUCAAUUGGUCGGCGUUAAGUCAGAGGGGACCAAGUAACAAAAUCGACGAAAAUUGGAUUUUUAGGGAAUUUGAUUAAGAAUUACUUAAGCUACUUGAAACAUUCACCCAAUUUUCUUAAUAUUACAUUUAACGAGAGUUAUAGCACAUUUUUCUUUUGAUUGAACCGCAAAAAUCGAUAAUAGUGUGCAGUCAGAGUGGACCAUAUGCUUGAUGUCAAGUGAGUUGAAAAAAUAUGUAUUGGUUAAAAUCCAAUAAAUUAAAUAGUUUAUCAUCAAAAUGUGAUACGUUUGCAAAUCGUAUGACUCCCUAACGCAUUUUCUGAUGAUUAUUGAUUAAGAAAGCUCUUGAAAUUCCAUUUUAUUAUGGUCAAUAUCGUAUUUUACAGAUCAUCGUGUUGAAGCAUAUUGUGGCAUUUCGCGUGCAGACAGAGGGGACCAUGUGUCUCUAAGAAAAAUGGUUGAAAUUACCUUACUCUUCGUAAUCCUUUCCAAAUCAAAAUAUGUUUGUUUAGUAGCUGCUGGGCAUCAUAUUGAAAUGUACCAAUACCCGUUUCAUGAAGAAAUUGAUUUUACCAAUUUUUCAAGAAUUAUGUACUUGGUUCACUCUGUCUGAACGAAUUCUUGAAAAAUGCCAGUCCUCUGAAUAAGUUAUUAUGAACUGUGAAACUACAAUAUUUCAAAAACGUAUUGAACUAUGAUCAUACAUUCAAAAGUUGUUAGCUAUUAAAUGGUCAAGUUAGGAAUUCUUAAAUAGCUCAUUAAGUGACUACCCUUCAUGUGAUAUUGAACUGUUGUACUUGGUCCACUCUGACUGAACAUAAAAAUUGAAAAUGGUAAUCAACAGUGUAAGAACAGACAAAUAUCCAAUUUCAAACUUCCUGCUCACAUUAUACACUACUCCCAUUAUCUGUUGUGCUACUUGUGCAUUAUUUUUUCAUCAAAUAUGUAAAUACUUGAGUGUGAACUGUAGUUGGUUGAAGAUUUUCCAAAAACCGUUCAGUCAGAGUGGGCUAAGUACAAUCAAUUAAUUAGCAAUUUCUCGGUUUUAAGCUUUAAUUUAUGUUUUUUUUCGCGUUCAAUACAGAGCGAUGCUGUGAUGAAUAGUUAUUGAGCUUUAUGGCAGAAAUUCAAGAACAUUUGAUGAAAAACUCAAAACUUAUAAGAGUUGCAAACUUUAAAGUCGUUUUUCUAGAAAUUAAGCAAAAUACACAUGGUCCUCUCUGACUUAACGCCGACCAAUUAUAUUUUUUGUUCUAUUCGACCUUUUAUCCAUUCGACCUUUUGUCCAUUCGACCUUUUGUCCAUUCGACCUUUUGUCUAUUCGACCUUUUGUCCUUCGACCUUUUUGUCCUUCGACCUUUUGUCCUUCGACCUUUUGUCCUUCGACCUUAUGUCUUUCGACCUUUUGUCAUAGAUUCGCUCUCGACUGUGUCGUUGAUGGCUACUUUCACUGUACUCCAGCAGUCCUCUAGAGGGACCUCAUUCUGCGUGUAUGCUGAGGCGACAUCUGGUUGUUUUAGCCACUCUAGAUUGUACCGUGGCGGUCGCCGAUACCGUACAUUGUUGAUGACGGAGAGUUUGAGGCGCAGUUUGACCAUCACUAGGUCGGAGUUGAUGUUGGCGCCACGAUAGGUCAUGUCGUCGAUAAUGUCGGAAAAGUGCCGUCCGUCAUCAGAACGUAGUCGAUUUGCGAUUCCGUCUUCUAUGGUGAUCUCCAGGUGUAACGAUAAGGACGGCUGUGUUGGAAGAAGGUGCUACUUAUGGCCAUAUUUUUGGAGGCGGUGAAAUCAAUGACAUGUAUGUCAUUUUCGUUCGUUUGCUGGUGAGCCCUGAGCUUUCCAAUCGUCGGUCUGAAUUCCUCCUCCUGGUCGUUUAAAUCUCAUAUGACGAUCUUGACGUCGUGGCUUGGACAGCGAUCGUACUCGUGUUCGAGCUGUGCGUAAAAUGGGCCCUUGUCAUCAUCAGUGCUUCCGGAGUGUGGGUUGUGCAUGUUGUUACAGUUAGUUUUAUAGAGCAAUUAUUUGUACUGAAAAGCGUAAAUUUGUUCAAGUGUUAAACAAACAUCGAAGGAAAACAAUUUCUAGGCAUCCCUAAAUUGUUUGAAAAGCGAAGCAAAGGAAAAAUUUUCUUGAAAUCGUCGUGACGUGUCGUGCCAGCAAAAGACUUCCGCCAAAAACGAACGAGCACCACAAGUGGCAAAGCCUCGACAACGAGCGGACAUAGUAGGUGAUAGUGCGCAGAAACCGAAUCUCCAAAGUCGGGCCGGAACGAGAUUGGCCAUAGAGAUUACGCUAGCGCAGAUCCGGUUUCUUCAAUGUAAGUGCAUCCGUAAAGGAAAUAAACCGCAGUUGCAAUUAAUCAGAUACAUAACUUAAAACAGGCAAAAACCCGCGUCACAACAUUCCGCACGUGUCGGGAGCUGUCGAGAGAACAGUCACCCAAUCCGCUGCGCCUGGACUGUCAACGUAACGAUUUGCGGCCAACAUCGCUUUUCUGUAAGUUCAGAAUCAUCUACCAAUGUUCAUUUGAUGAUAUCCGAUUUGUAACAACAGGGAGCGUAUUGAUCAGACUGUCCAGGAGACGGACCGCAGCACUCUGACACGAGGAUUGAGCACGAUCGGGCAUCCUUGCAUAAAGGCACUGAAUCUAAACCACCUACGAAUAAGCUCCAGAUCGAGCUACUCGGCAACGGAGAGAGUGUGUCGCACCAAACAAGCCCCUCUACAGGGGUUUUGUUUACCAUCUUCACAGCGCACAUAGAGGGAACCUCGGAGGGAGCUCUGCACGUCAGAGGCGUUCCCGUCUCUACCCUCGUCCGUCUGGAACCAAUCCGCACCAAAUCGUCGGCCACGCACGGAAACCACGAGCAAGAAGGCGCGAGCAAUCCGGCACAACCAAGCGCGAUCGCAUCGGCAAAUCACGUCCUCCGCCGAGCCUUCUGGAAUUCCCCAGACGGAGGUCACGCGACGGCCAUCGAAAGAGGCAGCUGGGAGUGUCAACGGCCUCGGUGAUUCUAGGUGACAGAGGCCCGCCACCUGAUGAGAACGAUGGCGGAGUGCAGGCUGGCCGGCACGUCGCGGCAAGGCCCCCAUUAGGGAGGAUCGAUGAUACACGGUUGCUGGUGCAAUCCUAAUUUUCGGUGAGCUACGAAUACCCUAAGUUAAGCUAUAUGAACUAGAGUUAAGAAACAGUAGGGACAGGUAGGCUCUUUGCAAAUCAGAGCAAUAAAGCAACUUUGUUAUGACAAAUUGAGUUCGGGCUGCAGUUUGUUGUUUCCGUCAUUCUCGCAUCCCUAAUUGACGGGAAAGAGAUUUAUAAGUAACAAUGUUUAUUAUGCUGAAGUUGAAGAAUCGGCCCUUGAUCCUCAACCUGCACAUUCUUUCAUCGAUUGUUCACCAACCGAUCACGCGCCUCUACAUGUCAGCCUAUAAUAGCUGUUUCCAGCUCACGCGUGUUGCCGCAGCUCUACUAGAUGGUAUGAUUACUUCCAUAUGUUUGCGCCAUAAAUCCUGUCCAACAUACCUCCUGCAGUGCUACGAUUCCGAACCCGCAGUCCUGCAGUAUAUCGGCGAGUAUGCGGGUGCUCCAAAUGAAGUUGAGAGAUCUGCAGUUCCACUCAGGAAACUGGCCUUACCUUCCCGGAAGCUACGGAUUCUGCAUUGUCAUUUCCUCUAACUACAGUGCUAAAUAGCUAGGUACAAGAGGCAGUCUUCGCCAGGGGUGACGUUUUUCAAUGGGCGUCCAGGAGAUAGUAUUUUACCUGAGCCCCCCAAGUUUAUUAUUUUUUAAUUUUCCACCCAAAACUCAAAAACGUGAUAUAAAAUCUUGAAAUCCUUAAUGAACCUUGAAGUCCCCCAAAAAGCUUAUGAAUGUAGUGAAGUCCCCUGAAACGCCCC